rnacentral:rRNA from 1 species
GAUGAACGCUGGCGGCGUGCCUAAUACAUGCAAGUCGAGCGAACGGACGAGAAGCUUGCUUCUCUGAUGUUAGCGGCGGACGGGUGAGUAACACGUGGAUAACCUACCUAUAAGACUGGGAUAACUUGGGGAAACCGGAGCUAAUACCGGAUAAUAUUUUGAACCGCAUGGUUCAAAAGUGAAAGACGGUCUUGCUGUCACUUAUAGAUGGAUCCGCGCUGCAUUAGCUAGUUGGUAAGGUAACGGCUUACCAAGGCAACGAUGCAUAGCCGACCUGAGAGGGUGAUCGGCCACACUGGAACUGAGACACGGCCCAGACUCCUACGGGAGGCAGCAGUAGGGAAUCUUCCGCAAUGGGCGAAAGCCUGACGGAGCAACGCCGCGUGAGUGAUGAAGGUCUUCGGAUCGUAAAACUCUGUUAUUAGGGAAGAACAUAUGUGUAAGUAACUGUGCACAUCUUGACGGUACCUAAUCAGAAAGCCACGGCUAACUACGUG